ensembl:lncRNA
UUCAAAUCGCUUAGAAACACGCUAUUUAACAUCAUUAAAGUCCUGGAUAAGGUCAGGAAUAAGGUUAUGGUCAGGGCUAGGGAUAAGGUUAGGUUUAGGGCUGGAAUACAGGGCUGGAACAUCUAUUACCGCGGAAGCGUCAUUGCACUGGAUCCCAGCCAUAACCCGCCGCGUACCAUAAGAACGCCGAAGGUCUCCUUUCGCGUUCCUCAGGAACGCCGCGGGACGUGACAAAACGUCGACAUGUUACGCCUCGGGAGUGAGAACGCUCUGACAUGUCAGUUAUGAGGAGUGAAGGAAAAAAUACAAGAUUGAUGAUACAGGAUCUGGAUCAGAUGGAGAAACAGGCGGAGGAGGCAGGAAGCCAGCAAGAGGUCGUGGCCGUGGCCGACGAGGUCCAAACGUACAGAGCUCCGGUGACCACAAAGCACGCUCGGAGCUGAAAACAAAGGAUCAGAUCAUGAAGCAGCGCAAGAAAAAGCAGAAGCACCAGUUCCUGCAGGGCGGGGGGAUGAGGAAGCUCCGCUCCAAGAACAAAAAGUGGCUCGGAGAAGUUAAAAAGUCAGGUUUUGGAAGGGGUGGCCAUAAGAAAGGCAAGCUGAGGAAGAAACUGGGAGGAGGACAGAGGGUUGAUGGUGUGGAGGACAUCACGAGGAACUGGGUGAUAAGCGUCAGAAUCAUCUGAGAACAUCACCAAAGAUUUUCCUGGCGCUUUGUGUGACUGUAGAUUAAGGAGAAAAUCAUUUGUGAAUCUUUACACUGCAGAAAUGCACGUCACUUCUACCUUGAUGGCCUGCUGAACUCUGCGUUUGCCACAGAGUUAUGUUUAAUUAUGAUCCACUAACCUGGAUUUACUACUUGUAAGCAUGUUGGCAGUCUAACAAAAGUGUUUUGGAGUACUGAAAUAUGUCUUAUCAAAAUGGUAAAAUACAGAUAUUAAAUAUUGUGUGCUUAAUUUGCAGUUAGUUUCAAAAAUCGUCUCGCCCAUCUUUUCUUAAAAUAAGAGGUGCUCUAUAAAAAUGACAUUAAAUUCUGUAAACGUG